CGCUGAGAAGCUGAAAUAGGACUGUAGCAGUUAGCCUUUUAAGCUAAAGAUUGGUGGCUCCUACCCACCCCCAGCGA
rnacentral:tRNA from 1 species